GGGCAGGCGAUCUGGGGGCCCAUCCCUCAGGCAGCAGCCACAAAAGCUGGGAUGCCAGAUGUGUGUACCAGCUCCUUCCAGGGAGGUAAUGGUGACUUGGUUUUAUUAUUAGAGCAGGCCGGGAGGGAGAGGGCAGAGGGGAGAGGUAUCCACCAGCUUCCCUGGUCACUGGUGAGGAUGGCAGCCAGCGACUAGAUGUCUGCUAAAUUAGAAACCUGGCACUCAGGCAGCAGCUUUUAAAGUAUUCAGAUAAACCAGUUUCAGAAAAAGACUGGAAGGUGGGCGCUUUCUACCUGCCCCAUCUGUGCUGAGCCCUGGGGGAUGGCUGUGGAGAAUGCUAUGAGACUGGCAUUCAGAGUAUUCUGGUUUCCAUCAGAACUCCAAGAUAGACAAGACAGAAACCAAUCCCUCAGGAAGUAUGCUGAAAAGCUGGAAUAUUGGAUCAUUUACAUUUAGACAAGACAGAAACCAGUGCAUCAGAUAGCCCAUCAAAAAUCAAAAUGUUCAAGUUGUGGCAUGUGGGACGCCGCCCCAGCGUGGUCCGAUGAGCGGUGCCAUGUCCGCGUCCAGGACUCGAACCAACAAAACACUGGACUGCCUGCAGCGGAGCGCACGAACUUAACCACUCAGCCACAGGGCCAGCCCCUACACUUACUGUUUUUAAAUUGCUCUUGUUGCACAAUACAUUUCAGCUUGGGAAGAAUGAGAUACCCUCCCCCCUUCCCAU
rnacentral:lncRNA from 1 species